UGGAUCUUUUUGCGGUCUGGGCUUGCUGUUUCUUGCAACAGUAGUCAGGAAGCCCUUACCCCAAAAAGUAUCUA
rnacentral:pre_miRNA from 1 species